GCGUGGGUCGGCCCGCUGGCGGGAACCAGCGGGCUGGGGGACACCGUCGCCUCAUUCCCCGCGGGCGGCGGACCGGUCCGGGGGGCGAGCAGCGCCCUCCGGGCCGCG
rnacentral:ncRNA from 1 species